GAUGAACGCUGGCGGCGUGCCUAAUACAUGCAAGUCGAGCGAACGGACGAGAAGCUUGCUUCUCUGAUGUUAGCGGCGGACGGGUGAGUAACACGUGGAUAACCUACCUAUAAGACUGGGAUAACUUCGGGAAACCGGAGCUAAUACCGGAUGAUAUUUUGAACCGCAUGGUUCAAAAGUGAAAGACGGUCUUGCUGUCACUUAUAGAUGGAUCCGCGCUGCAUUAGCUAGUUGGUAAGGUAACGGCUUACCAAGGCAACGAUGCAUAGCCGACCUGAGAGGGUGAUCGGCCACACUGGAACUGAGACACGGUCCAGACUCCUACGGGAGGCAGCAGUAGGGAAUCUUCCGCAAUGGGCGAAAGCCUGACGGAGCAACGCCACGUGAGUGAUGAAGGUCUUCGGAUCGUAAAACUCUGUUAUUAGGGAAGAACAUAUGUGUAAGUAACUGUGCACAUCUUGACGGUACCUAAUCAGAAAGCCACGGCUAACUACGUG
rnacentral:rRNA from 1 species